GGGGCUGUAGCUCAGCUGGGAGAGCGCUUGAAUGGCAUUCAAGAGGUCAGCGGUUCGAUCCCGCUCAGCUCCA
rnacentral:tRNA from 1 species